GUCACCAUGUGGCCUGUUAAAUGUUUUACAAGAGAAUACUUGAAGGCACAGCAUGCUCUGUGGGUCUGAGAACACUUGAGGUCUACAAAUUCCCGCUAUGAUAGCGGCCGUGAGAAGAUAACGACUCUAGCGUGGUCUGCAGCAAGGGUCACGGGGAGCCUGGAGCCUAUCUUUGGGGACUUGGGGCACAAGACAGGGGACACCUUGGAUAGGGUGCCAACAGAUCGCAGGGCACAAUCGUAUACACAGUCAAACACCACGGACAAUUUGGAAAUGCCAAUAAGCCUACAACCCGUGUCAUUGGAGAGGAAAUCGGAGUACCUGGAGGAAACACAAAAACCCCUAAGCACAAUGCAACCUCCACACACACACAGGGCAGAGGCAGGAAUCAAUCCUCCGACCCCAGAGGUGCGAGGCAAAUGUGCUGACCAGUUCCUCCAGAGCAUUUCUCCAGAAGAACUGUAUCUGCACAUGCAUCAAAAGAAUCUGAUGCAUCCUAACCAACAAGCAUUGUGUGUACACAGUGGGCAGGGCAGCACAGCUCUCUGGAUCAUUUCUGAUGAAAAGACUUUGAUUCUCCCAGGCUGACUGACCCGACAAGAGCAGGUGUGCCAAAGCUCGGGUUUCAGGCCUCCCGGAGCGCUAACCACCUGCCCCGGCUCACCUUCUGCCCCCUCCGCAGAUACCUUUCUUGACUCAAUCAAUGGUUACAAUCACUUUUAUUGGAUCCUGUUUCAUAUUUGGAUCGUGGUUCUUAUUGGCACUCACAGCUUGCUGUCUCGCUCUGGUGGCAGUGCUGCUGAUGGGCCUUGUUGUGAUCCUCAGUCUCUCGAACUCCUCACAGAUGUAGCAGAUUUGUUUUUGCAAUGUCUGGCCUCCGCUUCUCUCUAAUAGUUUCUAUCAACGCAGUGACAUUAUGAAUGAACAAUGAUGAGCUGUAAAAAAGGCCGAUCAUGUUUCUGUUAAAACAGUGAGGUUUCUUGGCUUUGAGGGCUGACACUCAAUAUCUUCCUGUAAAUGAACACAGUGAAAGGAAAAGGUGGGAUCAAGCUUCUGUAUGGCAAAAACUCAAAUCAUUUUUUUUUUUUUUCAAGUAAUGCUUUACAUUAACGUUCAUUAAGAAAUGUUAAGCUUUGCGUUAAUAAAUUGUAUGUGAUGUAAAGUCAUCACAUGAAUGAAAUGUUACCUAAAUAUAUCUGCACUGACUUAUAUUUAUCCACGCCAUGACUAAAACUUAGACUAAAACUAAAACUUAGUCCAGAUAAAUUAGAAAAAAAAAAUGAAGGUACUAUAAUUAAAAUAUUAAAAGUUUUUAACAUGGGAUUAUAAGAGAAAUAUACUGUAUGAUCACAUGAAAAAUAUGUGAAGAUGUAUUUCAUGUUAUGCCCGGAAAUUGCACAAACUCAUGUUUAAA